rnacentral:rRNA from 1 species
AUCUUGGGCAAUGCACGAAAGUGUGACCCAGCGACGCCGCGUGGAGGAUGAAGGCCCUUGGGUCGUAAACUCCUUUUGUGUGAGAAGAACGUAGGGGCAACCCUGCUUGACGGUAUCACACGAAUAAGCCACGGCUAACUACGUGCCAGCAGCCGCGGUAAUACGUAGGUGGCAAGCGUUGUCCGGAUUUACUGGGCGUAAAGCGUAUGCAGGCGGAUGGUUAAGUAGGAAGUGAAAGGUUGGAGCUCAACUCUAACACUGCUCCCUAUACUGGCCGUCUUGAGUGCCGGAGAGGACCAGGGAACUUCACGUGUAGCGGUGAAAUGCGUUGAGAUGUGAAGGAACACCAAUGGCGAAAGCACUGGUCUGGACGGAGACUGACGCUGAGAUACGAAAGCCAAGGGAGCGAAC